GGGAGGGAGCUGAGGCACAGCUUGGCUCUGCACUGCCGUGUGACUAGAAAUUGUAAUCGCGGAGAAAGAGAGAGACAGACAGAGCCGGGGAGAAAGGGACCAAGACAGACGGACAGACAGACAACCUGACUGAGACGGGCUCAGGGCCGAUGAGAGGGUGACAGGGAUAGAGCAAGAGGGAGGAAUAGAUGGAGGAGAAGGAGAGAAGGGGCCUGGGGGUCCCG
rnacentral:lncRNA from 1 species